rnacentral:rRNA from 1 species
CAGUAGCCGCGGGAAUACGGAGGGUGCAAGCGUUAAUCGGAAUUACUGGGCGUAAAGCGCACGCAGGCGGUCUGACAAGUCAGAUGUGAAAUCCCCGGGCUUAACCUGGGAACUGCAUUUGAAACCGUCAGGCUGGAGUCUUGUAGAGGGGGGUAGAAUUCCAGGUGUAGCGGUGAAAUGCGUAGAGAUCUGGAGGAAUACCGGUGGCGAAGGCGGCCCCCUGGACAAAGACUGACGCUCAGGUGCGAAAGCGUGGGGAGCAAACAGGAUUAGAUACCCGAGUAGUCCCUGUCUCUUAUAC